UUUAAUGUCCUACCAACUGGUGGAAGCAUGAUUUUGCAUUGGAACAGAGAACAAAAUCUACACAUCAUUGGAGAGAACCAGUCUUUAACUUCAAUCAGGCAGAGACCAAAAACUAAUACAUAUAAAUGGAGAGAACCAGUCUUUAACUUCAAUCAGGCAGAGACCAAAAACUAAUACAUAUAAAUGGAGAGAACCAGUCUCGACCCGGCUCCUCAGUUUUUCCUGCAGCAGAAAAUAAUUUCUGGAGCUUCACAAAACUAACCUGGUUCAACAGUCUUGCGUUUUUCUUUUUGCAGGUAAGUCUCGCAGGUUUAACACCAUAAAAUUGUUACACAAAUCCACUUGAACCAUGAUAAAACAUAAAAUCGUUCCACACAUUUGGCAUCGCGAACUAACUUCUUAAACACAUGAGUGACCCUUUUUACUCGAAGCAUCCAAGUGCAUAAAUGACAACCGAAGUAGAAGUACAUAUAGACUUGUACAGAUUUGUUUCCUUUGUGCACCAGGUUUAGACAAAAGGAAUCGAAAAAAUCAACUUAGCAGCAGCGACUAGUAGAUAUACUUCACGAGGAAAGCAUUUCGGGCGAUAGAGUACAAAUCAAUCCUCAGGCCAACUAGCAUGAACAGAAAGUCAUCUUGAUGACUUCAAGAUAGAUGGAAUACAUAAUGCAUGUUGAAAUGACCACAGAGCCUCCUGCAAGAAUAAACCUAGGGGUUAAUAUGCCAAGUUAGCUACAAUUGACGGUAAUAUAUAUAUAUAUAUAUAUAUAUAUAUAUAUAUAUAUAUAUAUAUAUAUGCAAAAAAUAUAUUCAAAUCAAUGUGAAGCUAGGCUUACCAAUUCCCUUUGUAAACACGGCAAAUGGUACAAUAUAAGUGCCUACAUGGUUUACUGCUAGCAAAUUCCUGGAUCUAACAGUAAUUCAUAUUCAGAAUUUUAUACAUAGUAUAGUCGGAUAUACAACACAUGGAAAUUCAACAAACCAACAGAAAGCCACAUGAAUAUUUGGGAGGGCAUAUGCAUGCUCCGAGACGACAGUUGCACACGUGAGCUCCUAGAAAGACCACAAGUCCAAAUCCUCAUCUAAAAAUACCACAAUCAAUACCAUAAGACCGUAGCGACACUGAAUUGUACUAGGACCAACUGAGCGGUGGCCCCAUCCAUUACACACCGCAUAUAGUUCUUCUACUAAAUUUACACAAACUGACUUCAACUCAUUAUUCCAACAUCACAUUAGUGAAACUGGCGCAUCUAGUUAUCUGGAACCUUUUGGAUGUGGAAGCGAGACGAAGUUCAACUAGAGUACUGGACCAUGUAAGGCCCUUUUCAUUUUUAAUAUCAGAAAUGUUGAUGGUAAGAACAUAUAGAACAUUACUAUUUCAGGUCAAGAACAUCACAGGAUCAACUACUCCCUCCAUUCGGAAUUACUUGUCUCGAAUAUGGAUGUAUCUAGAGCUAAAAUACAUCUAGAUACAUCCAUUUCUGCGACAAGUAAUUCCGAACAGAGGGAGUAGUAAUCAACAAAAUCUUGCCGUGUACGCAGGGUCACAGUAAUCCUUUUUUCACACGCAUGUGGAGUGAUUCAUGUACAAUUUUACUCUGGAGUUAGCAAAAGGUACAUGAUAACUGUAUACAGAGCACAUCCCCUAAUUGUUCUUGUGAUGUUCAGUGCACACAGAGCAAACCCCCUAAUCUUUUUUCCACUCUAGCAAUUGCAAAUAGUGAUAAAAUUUUACAAUUACGGCUAAAUCUCACACAUAAAUUCGGUGGUAUAUAAUACUACUAUGCACUUGUUUCAAACGAACUGGGGGAAGUGAGGAAUCGGAAGAACCAAUAUGACUGCACAUUUAUAAUAUAAGAACCAAAUAGGGCGCACAUACCUCAGAUCCUCGAGCUAUAAAGGCGGAUAGCCGACUCCUAUGCAGCCGUGUUAUUGGUCCACGGAGCUACAGCCCUGCGUCGCAAAAAAGAUGCAAUCACAGCGCGCAGCCGCUGGACCUCAUGAUUUGGAUUCUGGGCGUUGUUGUUUCAACGCCGGCGGCCGGAGAGGGAGAUGGAAAGGAGAGAGAUAGGGACUUCUCGACGAAGAGGAGAGGGAGAUCGAGGGACAGAGGUGAGUCGCCCCAUUUUUCUAUGAACCCCUGGUUCAGUGGUAUAGGUACAGAAAAGGAACAGAGGAA
rnacentral:lncRNA from 1 species